rnacentral:rRNA from 1 species
CCCUUAGAUGUUCUGGGCCGCACGCACGCUACACUGAUGCAUUCAACGAGUCUAAAACCUGCUCUGAUAGGGGUGGGUAAUCUUUUGAAUGUGCAUCGUGAUUGGGAUAGAUGAUUGCAAUUUUUCAUCUUCAACGAGGAAUGCCUAGUAAACGCAAGUCAUCAGCUUGCAUUGAUUACGUCCCUGCCCUUUGUACACACCACCCGUCGCUCCUACCGAUUGAAUGAUCCGAUGAAUAUCAUGGAUUGAGGAUGCAAGUAGGUUCGCCUAUCUUCAUCUUCGAGAAGUGAAGUAAAUCUUAUCAUUUAGAGGAAGGAGAAGUCGUAACA